AGCAAUAACAAUUUGGGAUCCAUCCAUUGGUAAAAGUGCCUUUUGGGAGCUGUAGGAUCCAGCAACAAGGGAUCUGGUGGAAUAUUGUAUUCAAGCAUACAGACCUUGGUCUCAGCUGUGGGAUCUGUUGUAGUCCCUGAACUGAAUUCAGCUCCUCUGUGCUAUGGUACAGAAGCCACUGGAAAAGACUAUCUUAGUUUUCAAGUUUGUCUGUGGCACAAGAAAAGUAUCAUCUCCUGAUGUACACAUGUGCAUAUUCACACAAACCAGAAGAGAAUCACAUGGAUUACACAAGGCCUGCACAAUUUUGAUAACUUGUGUGUGUGGGGGGGCUGUUUUCAGUUUAUAGAAUAAACUCAGUAAAACUGACUUUUAU
rnacentral:lncRNA from 1 species